GCUCACAUGGAUCAUACGAGCUGUUGCAAUUCUCGACUCCAUCAGCACGGAUGAAAGCAGAGCGCGGCUGUUGUGUUACUGAUGCAGAAGGGGAGAGAGAUUAUUGCAUUAUUGACAUACAGUAGGUGGAGAAAGAUUACCGUGUUAGCAGUGGCAAAAAAAGAAGCGAGAUUAUCCGAAUGCAGUAAGCCAUUGUUACAGCAAUGACAACCCCCACUCCCCUCCCGCAUAAUAUUAAAGCUGUUUGCAUGCUGUCAAAGCAGAUUCACUAAUACUAAUCGUAACAGACUUAAACCGUGGCUCGUCCCAGAAAAAGUAUCUGACAACGGAGAAUGACCUCUCCAGCAAAUGAAUCAAAUGGUACUUAUGGAUCUGAUCCCCAGCCCAUGGAAGUCAAUGGAAAGAUUUGUCAUGGAUGCCAGUUAGUUUUGGAUCCGGCCCCAGGCAAAGGGAUUUAAUGGCAUUUUACAACAACUCUGCACCCGCUCGGUUUGAAUGGAAACAACAGCACAAGCCAGAAGGAGCAGC